AUACGGAGGGUGCAAGCGUUAUUCGGAAUCACUGGGCGUAAAGGACGCGUAGGCGGGUUGGCAAGUCAGAUGUGAAAUCCUACAGCUUAACUGUAGAACCGCAUUUGAAACUGCUAACCUAGAGUAUGGGAGGGGGAGAUGGAAUUAGUGGUGUAGGGGUAAAAUCCGUAGAUAUCACUAGGAAUACCGAAAGCGAAGGCGAUCUCCUGGAACAUAACUGACGCUAAGGCGUGAAAGCGUGGGGAGCAAACAGGAUUAGAAACCCUGGUAGUCC
rnacentral:rRNA from 1 species